UACGUAGGGCGCAAGCGUUGUCCGGAAUUAUUGGGCGUAAAGAGCUCGUAGGCGGUUUGUCGCGUCUGCUGUGAAAACCUAAGGCUCAACCUUGGGCUUGCAGUGGGUACGGGCAGACUAGAGUGCGGUAGGGGGUGACUGGAAUUCCUGGUGUAGCGGUGGAAUGCGCAGAUAUCAGGAGGAACACCGAUGGCGAAGGCAGAUCUCUGGGCCGUAACUGACGCUGAGGAGCGAAAGCGUGGGGAGCGAACAGG
rnacentral:rRNA from 1 species